AGUUGGGCGGCCUUAUAACCAACUUACUUGAGACCAAAGCUCCCGCUCCCAUUCCUGGCCCCCAUCCGUUCCUGUUCCCCCAACGGCCGCCCCAGCUCCAGCCCCCGCCCCGGGACCUGGCUGGGUCAAGGGUCAGUCAGCGACAGGUGCACCCUGGGAGACAGUGAGAUCUGGAGCUAAGCCUAGGCUGCUCCCCCACAGCCCAUGGGUGACUCUCCGUGGUGGCCAAUGCAGUCAGUGCGUGCAUAUCCAGCUUACGUUUAUCUUUUCUGAAUUUAUUAAACAGCCCGGGGAAGAAGAUCCAAGCUUUGUCUUAGCCCUUUAUUGUAAUAAAUCUGUAGAGCACAAGCCCUCUGUUGCUGGAGUGAGAACAAUCACUAUGAAAACAGUCCAAAUCUGAUCCCAUUGCUCCUUCAGAGACGAUAUCCUUCAUUUUCUGAACUGAACGAUUCCAUGCUUCUCACUGACCUUAUGUCUCUGUAUAUUUCACAAUGAAAGGAACUCUAUCUUCUCAAGUAGAACUAAAUUAAGCAACUUCCCAAGACAUUUUACACUUUCAACACAACCCAUGUUAAUGUGAUGAAAUGAGCAUAAAGACCUCUUCUGUACCAUCUGUCCCAGCAUUAUUCAAAACCAAUUAGGAAAUGCAACAGCAGCACUGGGAUCCACUUAAAAGGAUUUCUUGAGAGACACGGAACUUAAGCACCACCCAUAAUAGAAAACUUCAUGCAGCUUUUCUAAUUGUAAAUAUAACCAACAUGUACUGGCCUAGACACACAUAGAAAAUAAGUGAUCAGGCCAACAUACUUCUCUCUUCAUGAGAGCUACCCGGAGAAGAGAAGAAGUAGCUACCUCUCAA
rnacentral:lncRNA from 1 species